ACGAACGCUGGCGGCGUGCUUAACACAUGCAAGUCGAACGGAAAGGCCCUGCUUUUGUGGGGUGCUCGAGUGGCGAACGGGUGAGUAACACGUGAGUAACCUGCCCUUGACUUUGGGAUAACUUCAGGAAACUGGGGCUAAUACCGGAUAGGAGCUCCUGCUGCAUGGUGGGGGUUGGAAAGUUUCGGCGGUUGGGGAUGGACUCGCGGCUUAUCAGCUUGUUGGUGGGGUAGUGGCUUACCAAGGCUUUGACGGGUAGCCGGCCUGAGAGGGUGACCGGCCACAUUGGGACUGAGAUACGGCCCAGACUCCUCCGUGACGCAGCAGUGGGGAAUAUUGCACAAUGGGCGGCAGCCUGAUGCAGCACCGCCGCGUGCGGGAUGACGGCCUUCGGGUUGUAAACCGCUUUCGCCUGUGACGAAGCGUGAGUGACGGUAAUGGGUAAAGAAGCACCGGCUAACUACGUG
rnacentral:rRNA from 1 species